rnacentral:lncRNA from 1 species
ACGGUACUAGAAUCAUGUUCUAUCCCUUCUACUACGCCUUGUAAUGUGUGUGUGUGUGUGUUUUGAUAACGUCCGUGUCAAAUAACAUUACCCUUUAUCCUUGUUUGUUCCACCUUCUAGGUGGCGUUUGUAUCUUAAAGUUAAGUUUACAGAAUAGUUCAGCAGAAAUAAAUGUAUAUUGCAUUUACGGCCUUCCAUUGGCCUCACUUUAUUUGGUCGUUAGAGAAUCUCUAUAUCCCAGGUAAAAUAGUAGGGUGAAUUGCCUUUCUGAGACUUACCAGAAAAUCGGAGUGAUAUAUUUCCUGCAGGAAGCUCAAAUCCUCAUCAUCAUUAAAUAUGGACCUGAAUACCGUCCCUUUUCUCCUGAACAAGGAUGUUCUUAGACAGUAUGCUUGAAUACUCGCCAUUUUUCUUCUAGUAUACACCCUAGGAUCCUUUUUUUUUAAAAAAAACUUUUGAAUCGGAUAGGCAAAUCUCUUUCAAAGGGAUCAAAAUGUGUUCUAGUCUGACUUGGAGACACUUUUCGCGUCUUUUCUUUUGCUCUUUCUUGUUGUGUUUCAGAUUUCUUGGUGGUGUUAAAUAGCUUGAUGGAUCUUGCUGUUUGAUCUCUAUGGCUUUACAAUAACUGCAGAUAAUGUGGAAUGAUGUUUUCUACAUUUUCUAUUUUUUCUGGUUGCUAUUUGAAGUAAGCAUCUUGUGGAUGUGGUUGAGAGUACCAGGAUGAACUUCUGGUAGUAUGUGCUUUAAACAAAAUGUAGUUUAUCUGGUGGACCAGGAACACCAUGGACUGAGAUCGAGACAUCCAGUCACUGAAAAUCUGGUUGAGAGGAAACUGCUGCAGGCUCAAGAGCUGACACAAGGAUCUUUGAAAUGAUCUUAAGAUAAUCCUUGGUAUAUGUUUCUAUUUGAUACAUCUAGAAAGAAACAGGCUAUUUCGCAAUUGCGUGAAAAAAAAAUGUUUGCCUUGUCUGCAUGCAAAAGAAGAGUAAGUGGACGGUGAUUGUGUUUUGUGUAGGAGUAUAUCUUAAGAAGGUAAGUGUUCCAAGUGCAAGUGUUGCUGUCGAUCAACCACACAGCCUCACAGAAAAAAUACCGGACAUGUUCUCUGUUGUUUUCGUUGAGUUGCAAGUAUAAUAAGUCUUGCGCAAUACUGUUCAUUCUAGACAGCUAAGGCAGGUAUCUAUCCAACUUUUCAGCAUAAAACUGAGUAACUUAAGAAAUCCAUUUCUGUCCUUGCAGGGUGGCUCCAGUUCUAGUCUACGAUUACCUGUCAGGUGGUUAACACUCGUGUCGAGUCCCACAAGGUCUUUGCUACGGAGUUUUAAGUCUAUUCUGCCGCAGUGCAGACAUUCCAAAAUUCCAAAAUUUAUCAAAUCCGGCAUUUUGUUGCGUCUAUUACUAGAUUAGUGCCACAUGCAUAGAGAGUGUCACAUUCAUUCAUGAGGGUUCCAAAUUCUCUUAGAUCACCACCUCGUGAUCUAUGUGUGUCAUUCUUUGUUCGUUCAUUCAGUUUAGGUUGACCAAAGAUCUGUACCACUAUUCAGGAAAUGGCAUUCGAGGAGAGACAAUCGGCUAUCGCUGUAAAGAUAUGUACCACAAUUUGUAUGAUUCUGUUUGCAACACCAGGAACAAAUGAAAAAUACAAUAUCUGUUUGUCGUUGUAAAGCGACAUGUACCCUUUUUUGGGCAGUCAGAAAAAAGAAAAAGAAAAGGAAAAAAAACAAGGAUAGCCAUUAGCCGCCACCACAAACUUGUCCAUCAGUGUUUCAAAGAAACCAAACUUGUCCAUCAAACCCCAACAAGCCUGAUCUCUUCACUGCCGUUCAGUUUUCCUCUGUGAGACUGACCUUUCUUUUACGCCGGGAUUACAGUACCCCCCUCGAAAUCUUUCCCAGUUAUCUUGUUCAGCAAAAAAGGGAGAGAGAGAAAAGCUCGGAACACCAAAAUAUCGCCUCUUCGGCCUUUCGAUGUCGAUGGCCGGACUUUCACCGCGCGUCGCUGGCGCCGCCGCCGCCACUGCCGCUGGAGUCCGCCCUGCUCAUGGAGAGCGUGAAGUAGAGCAGGAUGAGCGUCCCCACGCUGGACCUGAACGAGAUCAGACAAGGCCGCUGUCAGGAUUCAAGCACGGCGGAUACUACUGCCGAGUGCCGACCAUAGCAACUCAGCGUCAGGUUUUUGCACGCCAGCACGCCGCGCUCAGCACGGCAGCGUCGUGUUCGCCACGGCGGUUGCCCGUCAGUCGCCGUCUUCUUCUCCGCCGUCGCUGUAGCGAAGGCGACGCCCAGAGCUAGUUCUGCAACGGAGACUCGGCCAACAAAAACUACGCUGCAAGCCUGCAACUCUCUGCGAUUGCGAGCAUCGCCAUCGUCGUCGGACUCGUACCUUCCCAACAGAUGAACGUGUUCUAGGGGCUGCCGAAUACAAUGCUCUUGAUGUUGCUCCUGGCAUUGCCCCGUUAAAGAUCCAUCGCAUCGAACUGAUGGAUCGCCGCGUUUGCUGGGUUUCAGGGUUUGGUUCUGUACACUGUACUCUCUACUAACCCCUCUGAAGACGCAACGGGGAAGUUUGCUGGCGUUUACUGCAUGCCAACUCCGUAGCUUUGCUUGUUCAGGCACGCUCACUCAACACGCUUAACUGCUCCGCCUAAUCGUCUGGGUACUUCAUGUGAGAGCAUUAAUCCCCGCGACUUUGGCAGCCACUAGCUAGCCUACUACUACCGGAAACGAAUUACUGUGAGAAGUACUGCUACGACUUGCCAUGUUGAGGUAGCUUCUGUUUUUGUUUUUCUUUCAAAGUGAACGAACUGUCAGAGCUGACAGCUGAUGAAGGGGACUAGGGGAGGGAGAGCGAUGUUCUUACAGCGUGGCGAAGAGGAAGACGACCCUCCGGGGAUCCAGCCACGGCGCCGGCCGCCUGCCGAACCGCCGGGACUUGCUCCCGGGCGUGCUGGCCAGCGGCGUGUGCACGACCAGCCGCGCGCUGCUGGGCGCGUCGCCGAGGUCGCCGGCCGCUACGUGCACGAACAGCUGCGGCCGCUCUCCACCGCCACCUGCACAUACAUGGACGGAGGAGGUCGAGCCGGUCAGCAUCCAUGUUCUGUUCAAAGAUUGCAUCCCCAAGAAGGCAUCCCUCCAAUUCGUCGUUAGAAUCGAACGCAUCAGUGACUGUCACUUGCCAAUUUACUAGUAGCUUACAUGCGCUAGCUUAAACGACAAGGUGACCAAUCCAUCACUAAAAUCUCUAUCGAAUUAAACGGAAACCGACAAAACGAAGAGGCACGAGAAUUCUAACAGGAAUUGGCACCAAAAUGCGAUUUAUUUCCCCCGCUGAAAGGCAAAAUCAGAACGCGAAAUGGAUGCUAAUAACAGAAGAGAGCUAAUCGUCUGGGCUGACGUACCGGCGGUGCCGUUGGCGUCGCCGUCGGUCGGCUUCCUGUCGCCCUUCCGCGACAGCGACCUCACCACCUUCUGUCGUUGUUCGCGGCACGGGCACAGAGGAAGGAAAAAAGAGUCAGCUUUGGAAGCAACGAGACGAAACGGAAUUUGGCGUGUACCGCCGCGUCCCGGCCGGGGCCGGCCAGUUCGCGAGCACGCGUUUCCUCGGACUUACGGGUGUCCGCGGGGGCGCGGUGGGUGUCCGUGGGGGCGCGGUGGGCGUACCCGGCGGCGGGCCAGCGUCGCCGGCGAGGGAUGACGACAGCGCGCCGACGUCGAGGGCCACGAACCCGCCGCCGGUAGCAGCGGCGGAUGAGUUGACGCCGAAGCUCGAUUGUCCGACAUCACCCACCGCGAGGAUCUGCACGUAACAGAUAUAAGAAGCUGCUGUCAGUAACUCUUACCAUUUCCAUCUCCAAGAACAGAACGCAGGGGGAUUCUAUUCCACCAAGCGAUCGAUCUCACGUGCUGUUACCACCAAAACAGAACCAAACUUCCGGUAACUUUUUUGUUCCCCUCGGGCACAAGAAAAUUCAACCGAAAUUCAGUCGUUCCAAAUUCAAAUUUCUCAGAAGGAUAGGGAUAGCCGAUUUGCUCCCGCAGAACUCUGCAGGUGAUGGAGCAGGGAGAGAGACUCACAGGGUGGUUUGCGGCGGCGUCCCCCAUGCCUUCCGACCGCUCCGGCGAACUGGCGAUCGAUGCUUCGCUGCGUGUCCGUGCGGCGGCUGAUCCCUUCUCUUUUGUUGGCUGCGAUGCGAGCUCCGCUGGUUCGUUGGGGACGGGGAGAAUGAUGCCGGUGGAGUAGUACCAAAACUAGGAACCGGGGGAAAGGCCUGACGCUUUGCUCUUUUUCAGGGCGAAAAGAUUCUCCCUCACUCUCCGAGAGCAUGUGGGCGAGGAGAUGAUGGCGAGUACGGCUUUUUAUAUGCCGCUGGGUUUUGAUUACAAGUCCGGUCCCAUUUCGUAAAUUACCACAAUGGUGUUCUUCUGGUUACGCGCACGCGUACUCUGUGAAGGCAGUUCUUGAUAAUUACUUCAUCCAUUCCAAAUUGCAGGUCAUUUUAACUUUUCUAUGCAUAACGAUAUCUAUAAAGCUAAAAAAAAUUAAAACGACCUACAAUUUGAAAUCGAGGAAGUACUAAUUAGUGUACCGAAUUCAAGUUGAAACCGUAACAAAUUCAAGUUGAAACCGUAACAAAUUCAAGUUGAAACCGUAACAUUAUAAGAAAGUGAUUUGGUCUUAAAAUACACCUUGCUUUGUCAAUCUUGUCUAGUGUGGUUAAAAUUUAAACAUAUGAAUUGUGCACAACCAAAAAUAGAACUCUAUGACAUCGGAAGGCUUACUAAAUAUUUUUUAAAAUUAGUUUUUGCCAUCAUUUGCUUCCCUAGUUUCUUGGAGUACUGAGCAGGUCUAGCAGGUAUUUACUUUACUGCCUUACUAUGACUAAACUAGGUACCACUGGAUUGGCAAUGUUUGACCAAACGAUUCGUUGCCAAGUGGCUAAUUAAUGUCUAGCGACUAGCGUGUAAAAUUUUUGGAAUGGGUUGAUGGGCUAGUAAUUUUUUUGCAUCCCAACUGAGCUGACUCGGACCUAGAGUAUUCAAAAACACAAGAAAUCUUUAUGAGAUACUCCUACAAAACAGACUUGCUUCCUGCGAAAUACCUACAAAAUUCUCGCUUUCCCAAUAACUACUGAUUCAAAUAUUUGUGAGCGUGCUCUUGGCGAAUUCCAAAGUUCCUCGAGGAGUGGUCCAUAAAAAGAAGCGAGGAAAACUCGAAUUAUUUAUUCCCUCGAGGUCGUUUUCGUGAGAAAAGAUUUUGGCAGGCGGAUAUCCUCAAGCGUUCGAUGGCUCCCUGCCGCCACUCGCACUCGAGCUCGCCAGGCAAGCGUGCGAGUAUUUCCCCCAACUCCACCCAUUUCCCUCUUUUCCCUCACUUUUUCCCCCGGAACAAAAAGCCAGUGGACGUUUAAUUUUAAAAAUGAAAGCAUGCGGUGCUACUACCUUUUAUGUUUUUUUUCAGGAAACUGUGUGAUUAUAUCUGACGUGGAAAUUAAUUAAUGGCGCGCUUGGUUCCCGCGCGAGGGGUUCGCCUCGUUUUGCCUCGCCUCGUCGGUGCGAUCAACGAGAAGCUUGACAGGGCAGGCAAGCCGACUUGGCUCUCCCACGGGAGCAAGCCAAAUCUUGCCUGCACAAGCUCCAAAGCGCCCAGGCAAAAGAACCAAGCGCCGUAGCUUGCUCAGUAGCCUCGCCAGGCAAGGCAAUGCAGGAGCAAGCAAAGUAACUAAGCGAGCCCUACUUGCCAGGAGGCAUACAAAUGGCGCCAAAUCGUUACGUGGGCUUUGUUAUCUUGAUUUGUUUUUUGGAAGAGGGUUAUCUUCGUUUAUUCUAUUGAGGCAGCCAACUGGCCGGCACGCGGAGCAGCAGCCAGGUUUACAUUCUCCAUCGGACAUCAUGCGUGAUCGAGUGCCGAUGAUAUGAUCGGCCGCCCGGUGACAUGGAAUCCUCCGCGGACCUGUCGACCAAUCGAGUGGUGUUUAUUUUAGUCCAAAAGGAAUUUCAUCAGUUUGAAGCUGACAGUGAGCAAAAUUAAACGGUGUCAUCUGAAGAUGAUCCAGGCAGCAUAGCUCUCACCAGGACACUCCCUACUUUAUUCCUAAUAACCAAGCGUUAGUUAUCUCACGGUAUUUGCGUGAUGACCAUCGUACCCAUAUGGUAUACGGAACAUUAUGGGUUAGUUUUCUCUCUCUCUCUCUUUUUGUCUAUCGAUCAUAGAGAUUAACUAAAACGUUUUUUUAGCAAUAUUAAUUAAAAUUUGACAAUCUAUAUAGGUGAAUUCAUCAUACGGUAAAAUCGUAUCUAUAUAUAUUCGUUGCCAUUUAUACAAACGUACACAUCUGAGUAGUGGACGUCGAGCUUGUACUAUGGCUUCCAGUGAGCGGCGGUGAUCACGGCCGGCCGGGGAGUGCGGCACACAGUAAGCUGAAGCGGUCAGCAAAGCUUGUCAGCUGAAAUGGACGCGCGGCCAUGCGGGGGUGCUUGCUGGUGGACGUGCGCGACAACUGUGCGCGCGCGACCGAACAGGCACGUAGACUGAGACGCAACAGCUGUAGUGAUCGAUCGAUCGAUCGAUCGACGACCGAUUAUACAUCCAAUCCAAGCUGUGAUAUGAUAUGAUAACGCAUGGAAUCGCGAUUCGGAUCCGUGAUGCGCGCGCACGCAUAUGAUUUUAGUAUCCGGGGACCGGAAUGAUCAGCUGCGAUGCUACUCCAUCAUCUCCAUCCCUGGAGCGGAUCGUUCGUGCAGCUAGGGACGCGCACAUGCAAGCAUGCGCUCGAUGACCUCAUCUGCUUGGCGACGACCAAGGGCUCGCGUUGACUUCACUCUCUCGCCGCGUCCCUUACUCCCAUCGCUCUCGCUCCCUCUGUGAUCCCAUCCACCUCGAUCGAUCGAUUGCUUUUUCCGCCGUGGAUUGCGUAGUGCGUGGUUUCGUAGAUAUUUUCUCGAACGAACAGGGGAGCGAUGCGCAGGAGUUAAAAAAGGAGGAGGUGGUCCCCAAGCUCGUGCAGGAAAGGAUUAGAGGUGAAAUUAGAAAGUGGGUAAUGUAAGAUGAAGAUUAGAGAGAGUUCAUUUACGAUUUUUUUUUCCAUUGCCGUGACACGCAGUGGCCUUUGACAAAUUUAUGCUGACAAUUGGAAUGCGUGGGCCAGUGACACGCAGUGGUCUGUGGUAAAUACCAGCUGAGCGUCCUCUGUUCUACAGUACUGUACCAAUCAGCAAUCAGCAUAUGAUAAAAGUCAGCAGAAAUAUCUAAGGAAGAUUCCGGAUAUAUAGGGCUUUUAUUUAAGGCAACAUCGUGCUUAUGACAAUUACGUCACUGGGUUAAGCCAAAGCGCAAGCACUCCACCUGCUUUAUUUCUCAUGUGUAUGGCUGUCUCUUUCGCCGUCCCUCCUAGCUCUCAUGUUUGCAACUCUCCCGGCCGGAGCCCCUCCUUCUGCCCCAAAAGAAAGCCAUGCUAAGUUGGACUAGCAUCAUUUAACUUGCAUCUCGAAUGAAUCCCCCGGUCGUAUGUUCAUCUUAAAGCUGACUCAUCAGUGUCAUCACCAGGACUGUCCCGCAAAAUACAUGAGCCCUGUACCAAAUUCUAAUGUAGGCCCUUGACUUAACAACCAAAAUAAUAAUGAUAAUUUAUAUUAUGAUUCAUUUUUUAUACGAAACAUAGUACAAACAUACAGGUACAUGCAAGUAUGCACACAUAGAAGAGACAUCGUACCUCUACCAAUGUCUGGGAUUGACAAAAUCACAAGAAUCACCUCUCCGGCGAUGGACACAUCGCUUAUCAUUUAAGAAUAAUAUAUUAGCCAAAAAUAUGAGCACUGGGUUGAGCGGGAGACUUGAACCACUAAUCCCGCCAAUGGACAUGUUUAAUAAAGUUAGUAUGAUUUUUUGAAAAACCACUUUAGUUACUCCCUCCGUCCCAUAAAAAGUGCAAUCCUAACUUUUGAAAAAAAUUCCUAUAAAAGAGUGCAAUCCUAGAACAUUGAUCUAACUACCUGCCUAAUUAAGUAGUCAGAUCUGAUUUGCAUGACAAAACUUACUGCAUGUGACCAACAAAUAAGGGUAUUAGAGUCUUUUCACCCCCACCACUAAUUUGUCCUAGAAAAACUAAAAUUGCACUCUUCAAGGGACGGAGGGAGUAAUUAUAUAUGUUGUUGAACACAUUUCUAAGAAUAAGUUAUAACACUAUUGUGAUAUUGUCCAGUGGCGGACCUACAACCUGGGCUGCCCAGGCUGCAGCCCGGGUCCAAGGCUAAAAUCCUAAUAGUGGUUUAGAAAAAAAAUAGUCAAAUAUAAAGGAGCAACGUAUAUAAGCUUCUACUAAGCUAGGAUCAGCCCCGGCCCGGUCCUUGCCAAAUCCUGGGUCCGUUCCUGAUAUUGUCUGAUCCAACUUCCAAAAUGACAUGACUUCAAAUUCUUAUGCACAAUUAGAGAAAGGAAGAAAACUAACCGGGCUGGAAAAUCAAGAAGAAGAAUGUUGUUUACUGGCAUAUGGCGGUUGCAGUAGGCUAGUAGAACUGGCCUAAUUAGUGAUUACUUGUGGUUUGUAUUGUUCUAGACCAACAAGAAGAAGCUGCAAUGAUUUAGGAUUGCAAACCGAUCACAAUUAAUCAAUAUAUGACGUACAGCUAUUAGUAUUUUCAGGGAAAAAUAGGAUACGAUUUGCAUGUUGCAAGCUAGAAAAAAAUUAAAAGAGCUAGAAAAUUGGAAGGAAAGUUUCGUGCUGUCAUGAGGCUUCUCAAGAUGUUCCGUGAGGAAAUUUGGAGAGCACCAUGCCGAGUUUUGCUAGUACCACUAAUACUGAAUAUGUAGGAUAAUUAUGUGGGCCCUACAUCUUUAGGGGCCUGUAUAGGUGCACAGGCACGUGCCCAGGGACGGGCCUAGUCGUCACCGCUUACUGCUUGCAUUAUUGCUGGCUACGAAUCGAUGCGUAUAAUCCUGUUCUUUGUUGUGUAGUACAUAAUUAACGAACUGUUAUCACCAUUCUCAAGGAUGGAUGAUACGAUUGACUACUUGAAAAGGCCGGUAUAUCACUUGCAAGCCAAGGGAUCGAUCAAUGGAAGCAGCUGGACGCACAUGUGUGUCGCAUUCCCUAACAUUCCCGAGCUCCUAUAUACCCAGACUUGUGUCACUGCAAGCCAAAAAUUCGUGUCGUGAUAGCAAAGAAGCAUCAACACUGAAAGUCCCUUGCAUUGGGUCAUUAGCACAGUGGGGACACAACACAAGUCUUGUGUUACAUACACCUUGGACCCACCACCCAGUAGUAGUGACAGUGCAUGUAUAUGCUUUCCAUAUGGCACAUGGCGUCUUGCGAACGCUGGAUUGAACGUACGUGGUGGUGGUGCUGUCCAAGUAGGCAUUGCGGCCGGUAUGUUACAACGGGCCAAAGUGCAGUGCGCGCUCCACAAUGGAACGGACACAUGCACGGCCGCCGGCCGGCGACCGGCCAGAAAACAAAAGGUUCAGAGAAUCUGAGACGCAUAUUGCAGGCCUACCCGAUAAGCCACUGCCAAUAACCCAUGCGCUCUUUUCGUACGUGCGGCGCGUCGUGCGGCGCCACACAUGCAUGCAUAUAAUAACCGACUGGUGCUGCACAGAGGAAAAAGAGAACGGAGGCGGAUGCACACUUGGCGACCCAUCCAGUUGCAGGCCUUCCGGCAUGUCCCUGUCUUGGACCGAUUUCUUUGUCAUGGGCAAAAAGGGCCUUCAACUAUAUCUGCGAUCGCCGCCGGCCGGUGCUCGAUCGAUUGAUCAGCUGGGAGUGAUGAUAGCAGCGUACACCACAGUGGAGCUUCGAUCAGAGCGCUGGGAGCCACCACCGGACCCUUAUUUUUGAUUUCUUUUUGCUGAUCAUGCGAGCUGCUGGCUGUUUUGUCCUCCGGCCGUCCAUGGCUGAUGGCUCAGCUAAGAUGGUCAGCUGCGGAGGUGCAUGAGCGUAUCAACAGCGACACCCACUAGCGAGGAGAUAAGAGAGUGUGCCCCCCAUGCUCCAACGACUCUAUGUUUCUUUUGUAUUUUUUUAUCAGGGGUGUUACACUUGUCAGAUAAUAGUACUCCCUCUGUUCCAAUUUAUAGGUUGUUUUAUCUUUUCUAGGUGUAUAGAUGUUAAAAAAAAUUAAAAUAAUCUACAAUUUGAAACGGGAACGGAGGGAGAUAGGUUUAGUCUCAUAGUACUACCUAAGCAUUCAGCUAGCUGGCUGACACUUUUUUUUAAGUGGUGGGAAAUGAAAAAUAGCAAUGCCUGGAGUGCGUAAAGAUCUCAUUAGGCCCGGCCCAACUCGGGCUUGCCAUGGCAUUUUUUUGAGCGGUCUCAAGUUCUCAACAAAAUUCAACGAUUUGACCCAAUUGGGUUUCCCCCGCCGGCUCGGGCGGGGCUCGGGCUGGCCUAGCAGCAGCCCACCAAUAUCCAAAAUAGCCAUAUCGGCCGUCAAGUUGCUGCUCGGACUACACUACGUUUUCUUUGCUGAGAGGUGAAACAUUGUAUCCAUGAUGACGAGAGCAUACCAAAUUGAUGGCUGUAUGUUCCUGAUUUAUUGAGUUUUUUUUAGAUUUACCUUUUCUAGCACAUCUCAUACAGAUUAACAUGGAGACUUUGAAAAUAGCCUCCAUUUAUCAAUAGUAAAAUUUACGAGACGUUUUAUUCCUUCAAAAAAAAAAAUUACGAGACGUUUGUUGGUGUAGAGAUCGGUCAAAGACUGAUGUAUACGCAUAUCACAGCCCGGGCGUGCUACUAGAGAUGAAAAAGUUACAAAAACAACAUUAGUAAUUUGCUAAGCUAAAAUAAAUAAAUAAAUAAAUAUGCGCAGGGGCAUGGAAACACAUAACAUCUUGUGUCGUCUCUACUCAUCCACGCCGUCUUCCUGUAUCGUCUCGAGCUUGGGCGGCCGGUGCCUCUCCGCCGCCGCCUGCCGGAGCUCAGCGACGACGUCGACGCGCACGGUGCCCAUGCUCAUGAUCCCCGCCACGACGUCCUCGUCAGAUGCCCCUCCGCGACCGGCGGUCUCCAGCAGCCGCCGCAGCUGGCCCUUGGUCAUCCUGAUCUUCACCCGCAUGCCGCCGCAGCCGCCGUUCUCUGUCGACACCACUCCUCGUGCCCCGCCGGAACGCUCCGCCGGCAGGACCCAGUCCUCGUCGCCGUCCCACGCCGUCACCCUCGCACGCUCCAGGCAGCUGCAGUUUCCCAUGGAUCUCUCGAAGCUAGCUUGUACAGCUUGGCGGCGCUACACAGCUGCAGCAGCUGCACUGGUGUGUGCUGGGAAUCGGGGAAAGGCAAGAGGACGAGAAGGAAAGAGAUGAGCUACGAGAGCAAGGUGAUGGAGAAGACUAAGAGAGCGAGGUAGUGAGCGAUUGAGCUUGAUGGUUUGGGGUUUUGAACGAAUGGGUUUUGGUGUAGUGGAGAGACAGGGUAUAUAUGGAGGUUGAGGUGCAUAUACGGGUGCUGUCUGAUGGUGAGACGACUGAAUAAUUCUCGUAGAGAAAGGCUUGUCCAGAGAGCAAGUUCCAGGAAGGAGACUUGUUGAGCUAUGCAUCAAGGCACACCGUACAGGACAUAAUCCUGGAGGGAUUUGCCUCCCUUUUUUCUAAUGAGAAGAGAAUGAGAGAGGUGCAUGGUUUUGCUUCCGUUCCGUACCUCGUCGAGGCCUGACUGAGCUUGACGGAACAUAGGUUGCGGCCGUGUAGGGAUGCAUGCGUUUGAUUUAAAUAAGUGGCGUUUGUCUGCAGUUUGAAUACGCGUAGGCGGAUUAGAUUAAGUUUCUCCGAUGAUGCUGAUGCUGAUCAUUACGGCAGGUAUGAGUAGAAUAGUGCAUCAUGUGUGUCAGCACCUCUUUAAAACUUUGUACUGAUUCGGAGCAGUGUUCUUUAUUUAUCAGAAUUCAGAAAGAGAACUACUACUGCAAUGAAAUUACAAACUUUGUACUCAUCUUGAAAAUUUGGCAGCUGGCCAUAUAUGCCCGGCUAUGAUCGAUAUAUAUGUUAAUAUUCCUUUUCCGUUUUUUUUCUUUUUUCUUCUUUAAAAGGAGAAAGCGGUGGCAAAAUCAAAAAGACCAGGAUAACGUGCGACGGGUUGCGCGAAAACUUAAUGCGCGACCCCUCAAACCAAUCACAUGUGAGUGCACCCAAGUAAUCAUGUGGUGGCACCUGUCUGAAUUCAGUGGAAGCCCCCCACGUGUAGCUCCUCAAUCGCAAGAUGUCGCUAUCUGUUAACGUUGCCGAUGAUGCCGGUAUUAAUAAAUAGACACAUUUUCUUUAAAUGAGCAACGAUCAUCCAUUUUCAAAUCCGUUUGUACUAUCAUGUUCCUUGUAACACGAUCUACAAAACUAGAUCUAUAUUUGAUAUGUUUUGAAGUUGUGUUACGAGCAACUUAUAUUGAUAGCAGAGUGGUAACUUAUGUACAAAAUGUGUGAUAGUAUACACUAUGAAACAAUUUUUAUAGAUAUGGUGGAAUAACUUAUAUACAUGUAAAGUAUCAAACUUAUACAGAGAUUAUGUACCAACCUUUAAUCUUAUAUUGUAUGUCUACUUGUCUUGUAGGAAAUUUAUAUAAAGACAAAUGUACCAACAUAUGUAAAGGGUUGUGUAAGAACUUGUGUGCAGACAGUAUAAUGAUUUAUGUAGUACAUGCCUGGUAGUAACUUAUCUAAAGAUAAUAAUGUGGCGACUUUAUUUAGAUAUUGUAGGGUAAGCAAUAUGACAAUAAAAUUAGUGUUGCAGCAAUUUAUGUACAUAAUUUGUUGAGAGAUUUACACAUAAGUUGUUACAUGCUUAAUACACAAGUAGCUACCAUAUGUUCAAUAUAAGUUGCUAGUACAUAAAUAAAUAUUCAAAAAUAUAUGCAUCAUGGAUUUUGUUUUGUAGAUCUCAUCUUAAGAAAUGCAGUGAUGCAAACAGAAUUGAAAAUGAACAUUCCAAAAGAAAGUUAUCACUUUUUUAUGGUGAAACAAUGGAAAAGAAAAGCAAGGACCACGGCAGCCCAGCUCCCUCACGUGGGCCGAAGCAGGCUGCAUUGGUCGUGGACUCGUAUAUUUGCGCGACCAGUCGUUAGAUAAACUUUUCCAAAUCAAACGAGGCAACUUUUCGAAAGGAGAGGGUCUCAACGUUAGCCUACAGUAUAUUUUUUAGAUAAAGGAAACCGGUCUCCACACUUACAAGUGAGUGAGUGCAACUACUAGCCCACAAUAUAUAUGCGUCGCAAUGCCGUGUGAUUGAAGUGUACUCUUGAAAUGCAUAAAUUAGGGUUUAUACUUAAGUAAAGAAAGGUGCUGCAAAUGUGAGGAAUGACAUAGCACUCGAUUGAUACCACAAGUAAGUAUGUAAGCUAAGCUUUGGACUUUGAGCUUGAUUCAUCCCGAUCCCACUUGCACGUACUAUAGGCAAAGUUCAUCUCCCCCAACACACACGUACUCCGUCAUGUCGCGUGCCCGCCACGCGCCUUGGUUUACACUGAGUAUUAUUAUACUCCGUCUUGUAGUUAAUUAUUAUGUUCAUCUGAUCCGUCAACCAAGUAGUAUAAUUUCUGAACUUAUUUGAAUCUGAGGAGAUCCAUCACCAUCCAUGUGACAAAAAGCAUCUAGCUCUGAGUUCUUCGAUCCGAGACUCGUAGUAACAUUAAAGUAUAGUUUAAGUAGCUAGUUACACGGGAUCAUCACUAAGAGAUGAGAGCCCCACGCUCCCCUCCGCCAGCCCCCUUCCUCCCUCACCCGCCGCCGCCGCCGUCACCGGCCCGCCGCCCCCUCCCCACCCGAAGACCCCUAGCGAACCUGCUACCAAACCCGACCCCUAACCCGCCGCUCCCACAAACCCCGCUCACAAGGAGAACCUGGGAGCAGUUCAUCAACGCCUCCCCGCCGCCGCCUCCACGGAUCCACUACUCGCCGCCGCCCGAGGCCGAUUGGGUGCCGGAAUCGCCGAAUCCGCCGGUCCCUUCACCGGAUCUGCGGAUCCCGCUGCACGAUCUGCGCCCUGGAAGCUACAACCACAAGUACGCCCACACGGACAAGACGCGGUCCUAUGCCGCAGUCGUCAGAGAGGGGCGCUUCACACCCCUAACGACCCAGCGGCGCCACGGCGAUGCGCGUCCUCCAGCCCAUGGAAGCCGGAAUAACUCCGACGACAGGACGGCUACGCGGCGCAUUGAAGACCCGACGUCAGCGACACUACGCAUCAAGCCCCGGUACGGCGAAGUAAAGAAGAUACCGCAGCACAUUUUGGUGCACCAUGCCUGGCAGCCAGUGACGAGCCGCAGGACGCGGCGGCAGGCGCGGCCCGAGGCGCGGCGACGCGAUGGCGGAGGUGACCGGAGAGCCAGAAGCAAUUUAAUACGAACACCAACCAAGGCGCUGCUCGCCUUCAAACGGGAGACCGCAGGUAGGUGCUUCCGAUGCCUCGCCACUGACCACUCCGCCUCUGCGUGCCGCGACCCCGUGCGUUGUUUCCGGUGCCGGCGAUUCGGCCACCGGGAACGCGACUGCCGGGCGGCGCGACGCGAGAAGCACCACCCCGCCACGCAAACAGCCGCCGCUCCACUGCACAGAUCGAGAGCUCAAGCCCGCGCCAGCCACCCAUCGGCCAGACAUCCCCAAUCCUCCACACGCUGCCACCACCCUACAGCACCGCGCCGCGCAGCCACCACUGAAAAACAACCUCCACCCGCGCCAAGACCCACCAGAUCCACAAUGGCCAUCGGAGAUCCGCACACGCGGCCAGAUGUUGAAACCGUUUUCGUCUCCAGCUCCUUCCACCUUGAACACGAUGCGAGAGAUUGGGAAGCCUGUGCACUCGUGCCAUGGGCACUGCACCUGCCGUCCGACGCUGGAGCCAGAGACAUCGCCAACCUCCUCAUCCGGGAGCUCCGCCUGCGGCCGGGCGACGUCACCGUCACGCUUCAUCAACCUGAGCCAUACCUCAUCAAGUUCGAGCAAGCGGAACACGCGGCGGAGGCACGUCGUCGAGGGCGAUUCACCGGAGCCGGCAUCGACAUCUGCCUGCGCACAUGGAGGAGCCUCACGCACGCCCUCGGCUUUCGCAUCUUCUAUAGGGUGCGGCUCUGCCUCGACGGCAUUCCGCCGCACGCCUGGACGCCGGACAUCGUCGAGCGGGUCAUCGGACACAAAUGCGCCCUGCAACACAUCGUCACUGACCUUCUCCAGCCGGCGGACUCCAGGCACGUUGAGCUAUGGGCCUGGACGGUGGAUCCGAGCGAGAUUCCAAAAAAGGUAUGGCUUGCUUUCACUCACAAUCCAGCGACGCAAUCCUCUGCUUUUGCAGUCUCGGCCGAACCACUGCAGUCGCCAUGGCAGCAGGGGGCCCGAUACGAGGUCUUCAUCCACAUGCCAGUGAUCGAGGACUACUCGGCGGCGGCAAAUGACCUCCAGCAGGCCAUCGACAACCCGCAGAGCGUCAUCCCCAUUCGCCGCCGCUACGACUGGCGCUACGGCCUCGCCGACGGCGCGCCAUCCGACGCCAGAUCGCGCUUCCUGGCACGGCUGCCCCGUCCACCGCGUAAACUGCGCGCUGAUCCGCACUUGGCUGGACCCAGUAGGGGCCGGCCGGCGCCGAGGGGCCCCCCCAGGACGGAGCACGGCGGCAGGGCCGCGGACGGUGCUGGAGCCGCCGGGAACAGGCGCGGCGAGAGCGCCCACCAGGAAGCAGUCAACGCGGAGGACCGUGCAAGGCGUCGCCCGGCGAGGCAGCGCUGCGACGACCGGCCAUUCGUCUGGCCUUCCCGCCGUGACGACGCCGACGACGAUGGCGGCGACUACGACCACCCAGGACAAGGACGCCCGCUCGACGGCGACUACUGGAGCUGCGGCGGGAUGGCGCGCCGCGACCGCACCCGUUCACCCCCAAGACGCAACUAUGCGCCUGCGCCUGGACGGCGCCAUGAGGCCGGCGUCCUGGAACUGCGCCACCUGCCACCGGCACAGCUACAGGCCCUCUUCACGGCGCAAGCUACAAUGCUCAAGACCUACGCGCAACAGCAGGUAACUGAAGCUCCCCUCACAACUGACACCCCAGCUCUGGAUGCUAGGAAACACUUCUGGCACAUUGGCGCCGACGAGUACAUCCGCAAAGCCUGUUCACUCGCCGAUCGACUUGGGAUCGAGGACGCGACGGUAGGGGAAAAAGCCUGGUCCGAGCCGGUGCCGCUGACGUGCGUCUUCACCAACCUGCGGGUGGCGCUAUCAUCGACCCCGGCGGCGGCGACGGCGACACCGACGAUCCAGGAAGUCCACCAGGCGCUGGACCAUCUGUGCAUCGAAGAAACUGACAUGGUGGCACAUGGGCCGGCGACAGCCCAGAAGGCCCGCAGCUCCGCCUUAGUCCAACCGGCUGGGCCUACUCCACAGCAGGCCGGCCCAGCAAAUGACCCAGAGGGGAGGCAGGCUGAAGCACCGGGAGUUGGGCCGCAGCGGGCCUACAAUACAUAUGCCACUGGGCUGGCCCGCGACCGAUCACCUCCACCCAGCAUCGCCACCGAGGCCCGUCAACCACCACAAUCACUUAGCCCAACCCACUGCCACACACCAUAUGCAAACUCAGAUAGGCCCACAACUCCCCAAUCAUGCACAGCGCAACAAAUGCCCCAGCUAACGCCACAAUCGCACCCAGUAGCGCCUGAUCCAAAAAUAAGCGACCUCUUCAUAGCGCCGUCACAACCUCUGCUACAGCCCCCGCCGCCACGACAACGCCGAAGUCGCACCUUUGACAUGAGUAAGGUGCGGCGGAGCGCGCGCCUAGCAAAAAAGCCAGCCAUACCAGCAGUGGAGCGGGCACAAAGGAACCUUUAUCGGAAGUUAGGCAUAGGAAAUGAUGAACUAAUGCCUAUAGAGCAGGUCCUGCAGGAAUUCCUCCACAUGUUCCAGGGACCACUACCGGACUUCAUUAUAGCUGCUAUGACUACACUCUUCGCCUGGACGACGGAACCGCUGACCAGGUAAACGAAGCACUGCUACAUAUGGCCGGUGAUGGGGUGGGAGAACUCCAGCAGAUGGACCAGGAAGCGGCAUGAUCUUCAAGACCUUGCACCUGUAUCACGUGCCUCAGUACUACUACAUGUAUUGCUACCUUUAUGUCGUAACUACCUCCAAGCCUCGCCCUGCUGGCUGCGACCUUCGGGGAGGCUCCUGCUUUAGCCCUGCUGGCUGCGACCUUCGGGCAAAACCUAUGCGCUCUGCACUAUGCGUUGGCCACUGCCAAACCAAACUUCGGACGAUAACUAAUGCACCGUCAGCACCCGGUCAACGACAAGAUCCGCACGACGAAAACGCCUCGAACCGCAUAACGCACUCAUACAACCAAUGCGACGCGCGGCAACAAACGACACGCUACAACCACAUGGCCAGCAAGGUCAGCAAGGUCACGGUCACGGUCAGCACGAUCAGCACAGUCACCGCACCGCCCCCAAAUCGCAAUAUGCAAGCGGUAACUCAUGACAAUGCCAAUCCGUCAGCAAGCGACCCAACCACAACAUAGAUGAAUGACAAUUUCGAAAUACUGAGCUGGAACGUAAGAGGCCUAAACGCACCCGUCAGAUGCCUAACAAUACGCGAACUACUACUGGCAACGACGUGCCACAUUGCAUGCCUACAAGAAACGAAACUACAGAAUAUUGACGCCAUCCUAGCGAAUCUCCUAGGAGGACCGCGCCUAAAUAACUACACGUAUAAGCCGGCUAUAGGCACAAAGGGUGGCAUUCUCCUUCUCUGGGACGACAGGGUUUUCGACAUGCAAAACGUCCAAAUAGGACGCUACUCCAUUUCAGCAAAAGCGACGGUUAAACACAAUAAUCUACAUUUCCAGCUUACAACAGUAUAUGGCCCUUCAAGGCAAUCAGAGAAGGCCACUUUUCUACGCCAGCUACGUUCCAUGCGACCUGACGACGACACCAAAUGGCUCGUCCUGGGCGAUUUCAACCUAAUCUAUAGCGCAAGAGACAAGAAUAAUACUAACCUAAACAGAAGACUAAUGAGAAGCUUCAGAGCAACGCUAAAUCACUGCGGUCUCAAAGAAAUACACCUACAGAACAGAAGAUUCACCUGGAGUAAUGCAAGAAAACAACCGACGCUAUCGCGUAUUGACCGAGUCUUCUGCAAUGAACCCUGGGACCUGCAAUUCGACGAUCAUGUCCUACACGCUCUCUCCUCCUCACACUCGGAUCAUUGUCCUCUACUACUGGCACAACAAUCCGGCCCUCGCAAGCUGACUCCUUUCAAAUUCGAAAACUUCUGGCCGAAAUUACCAGGUUUUCACGAAGUAGUAGCCCAGGAAUGGUCAAAGACGACGAGACACACUGAACCUUUUCACAGGUUGAACCACAAGCUACGCACAACAGCCUGGGCACUGCGAUCAUGGAGCUGAAAGCAUGUCUCUGAUGCCCGCCUAAAACUCCACAUGGCCCAAGAAGUCAUCAUGCACCUGGAUGUAGCAGAAGAAACAAGAAUGCUCAGCGAACCUGAGCACGACCUACGGAGCAAGCUCAAACAUAGGCUCCUAGGAUGGGCGGCAAUAGAAAAGGCUAGAAAGAAGCAAUGCUCCAGAAUAACCUACCUACGCGAAGGAGAUGCCAACACGCGCUUCUUCCAUCUAAAGGCAAAUGGAAGAAAGAGGAAAAACUUCAUCCAAAGACUAAAAACAGGAAACGGAUGGGCCGUAACCCACUUGGAUAAACAACAGAUAGUUCAAAACCAUUUUGACAACGUAAUGUCUGCACCAGCCGCCCGUGACAAAACGCUAAAUUGGGAACAACUGCAGCUCCCACAGGUGGAUUUAUCAGGAAUUGAUAGCCCUUUCUCGGAUAGCGAAAUACUACAUGCCAUAACUGAUCUGCCUAAAAAUAAAGCACCAGGGCCGGACGGUUACACCGGGCUAUUCUUCAAAUCAUGCUGGAACAUAGUCAAAGCAGAUGUAACAAUAGCAAUACAUGCAUUCUACAACGCCAGAUGCAAUGACUUCAACCUAGUAAAUUCGGCCAAUAUCGUCCUAAUACCCAAAAAGGAAGGAGCUGAAAGCAUUCAGGACUUUCGACCGAUAAGUCUCAUACACGCUAUUGCAAAAAUCAUUAGCAAAAUUCUAGCAACAAGACUACAGCCACAUCUAGAGAAAUUGAUAUCACCAAGCCAAAGCGCCUUCAUCAAAGGAAGAAGCAUUCACGACAACUUCCUCUUCGUACGGAAUAUGGCCAGAAGAUUUCACAGAUACGGAACGCCGACAUUACUAAUGAAACUGGACAUUUCCAAGGCUUUUGAUUCGGUCCGAUGGGAUUAUCUACUUGAACUGAUGCGAUACAGAGGCUUCCCCACACGAUGGCAAGACUGGAUAACUGCCUUCCUAGUCACAUCAACCUCAACAGUCCUACUAAAUGGCACACCAUCUGAUCCGAUAAUACACGGGCGAGGACUACGACAAGGAGACCCUCUAUCCCCCCUACUUUUUAUCCUCGCGAUAGAUCCGCUGUACAAGCUAAUACAUAAAGCGACGGAAAUGGGACUACUAACAAAGAUAAGGGGGCGUACGCCACGUACAAGCAUCUCCAUGUAUGCAGACGAUGCGGUCAUUUUCAUCAAACCAACACAACUAGACGUUACGAAUAUAACAAAGCUUCUGGACUUCUUCGGGGAGGCCACUGGGCUCAAAACAAACCUGCAAAAAACAACUGUGACCCCCAUCAGAUGUGACAACAUAGAUCUGGAAGAAAUCCUCGCACAAUGGCAAAUUAUUCGUAAAAGUUUCCCAAUACGAUAUCUUGGUCUCCCGCUCACGAUAAGACGACUAAGGAAACCGGACUUCCAGCCUAUAGUGGACAAAGCAGCGCAGAAGCUCUCCGGAUGGCAUAGUCGCAACCUAACCCAUGCAGGAUGGGUAUGCCUAACAAAAGCAGUCCUUUCAGCGCAGCCACUAUAUCUGCUCACCGUCCUCAAAGCACCAAAGGAAGUUCUAGACGAACUAGACAAAAUAAGAAAACGAUUCAUCUGGGCGGGAGACAAAAUGCUCACAGGCGGCAAAUGCAAGGUUAACUGGACCAAAACCUGCUUACCCAAAGAGAACGGAGGUCUAGGAGUGCUAAACCUACACAAAUUCGCUAGAGCUUUGAGGCUGCAUUGGAUAUGGCAUGAAUGGCAGUCCCCACAGAAAACAUGGAUUGGAACGGAGAUACCAUGCGAUGAAUCCGAUCAACGACUCUUCGCGGCCUGCACAACGAUCGCAGUGGGUAAUGGACGCAAAACGAGCUUCUGGCACUCCGCCUGGGGACAAGGAACUCGACCAAAGGACAUUGCACCAAACCUAUAUAUGCUUUCCAGGAGAAAGCAUAUAAAACUAGCUGAAGCUCUGCACAACAACAAAUGGGUGACGGACAUAAACCUUCAGACAGGACUGACAAUUUCACACCUCCAAGAAUUUGUAACAUUAUGGCACCUAGCAGCCCUAAUAAGGCCGCAAAUGCAAAUGCAACAGGAAGAUGCAAUCCAAUGGAAAUUCACAUCCAACGGUAGAUACUCAGCUGCAUCGGCAUACAAAGCACAGUUCCUAGGCUCUACAUUGGCACCACACCACAAAACAAUAUGGCACUGUUGGGCGCCGCCGAAGUGCAAGUUCUUCGCAUGGCUCAUUCUCCAAAACCGUGUCUGGACAGCUGAUCGACUAGAGAGACGAGGAUGGCAACACCCCCCUGUAUGCCCUUUAUGUCGUACGCAACAAGAAACAGCGCAUCAUCUACUGGCACAAUGCAGAUACACCCAACGAAUCUGGAGACUAGUGGCCCUCUGGGCAUCACAACCAAGCAUACACCCCUCGGAAUGGCCAUCAACCGAAACCACCCUACAAUGGUGGAUGAAUAUGACUACACGGACCGAAGCGCCUAGAAAAGGCACAUGUUCUAUGACGCUGCUGCUCAUAUGGGAGCUAUGGAAGGAGCGAAACAGACGAAUCUUCAAUCAGCAGGAGAUGUCAACAGCCUCUCUGAUCGCCAAAGUCAAGGAGGAAGCAGGCACAUGGAUCGUAGCAGGGGCAAAAGCUUUAGCGUCUUUCCUAUCUAGAGAGUAAUCAUGUAAAUUUACCCCAUUUAGGGAACUCUUCUGUUAAAACCUUCUCUAUCAAUGAAAUAGGCACCGUCUCGUGCCCGUUCGUUCGAAAAAAAAAAUAUAGUUUAAGUUGCAUGGUGAUCGACUCCAGAAGUAUCCACACACUACAAUAUUUUACUCCGCCGAGAUACAACAUCGUGAAUUCUGAGACGCCGCAACGCGUGCGUGCGUGCAUAUGCAUUUGGCAACCACGCUCUCCGUCAACGAUAGGCAGGCUGGGCUGCACUGCAUGCAGCCAACUGGUAUCCAACUAUCCAUGCACGUUUAAUUUGCAGCAUACUUCUCAAUACACAAUUUCUUUCAAAUUUAGUAAAAUUUCUCGUAUCAUUUUCAGAUCGAGAUGAUUUCUUCUUCUUCUUCUUUUGAAUGAUCCAGUUUUUUUUUCUAGGAUACAGACUAGUUGUGCAAGGUUGACAUUGAACAUACUGAUUUCUUGAUCCUCUGAUGUUCGGCUAGCAAAAUUCUCUCCAUCAUAUAUUGAUGCAAAGUUGCCCAACUUCGCAGAACUUCUGUAUUGGUACACGUCUCUCAGUGACUUAUAUAUUUUGCUCCUUAAUUAAAAAAAUAACUGAGCAGCAAUCAAGUCUACUAGUAACUGUCAUGGACCCAGCUGAUGCAGCAUUUGAUGAAUGAUGACCAAGUGGCUGGGAGCCUGGGAGUGCGUCUUCACCAUCCAAAGGCGUCAAGUCUCAAGCUAGCCAGCAAGGCGGGAGGAAGUAUUGGGCCCGAAUCGUCCUAGCUUUGGAAGCCCACGGGAGCGAAGGCCCAAUCUAAGGUGUGUUGGCCACAAAAUGGAUGGCUGAAUCAAUCACGCAAAUCUUAGCCACAAUGAAUGGCAGAUUGACACUAAAACAGAUGAUCCAAGUGACUGAGGGUUUAGAUCCUGAUAUAGCUCUAUAUAUUUAGAAGCAAUUGGAGCAGCACUCAGCGCCUACCUGCUGUUCUGAUAGAAGGGAUCUUACUACUGUUUUCUUUUGUUGUCCUAAUUAAUGGGGUUUUACCAUUAAUUUUACCAUGCAAUGUUUACUGCAAUACAUUACCUUCCAUCCUACCCAAGAAGCAAAUGCCAAAUGAUUAGUUUAAAUUUGGUGCAAUUUUGUAGGGUGUGGAGGUAACGCACCAAAUGCUGUGAAAUUUAGGCAAUUUGCGUCAACAACUGGACUUGUUACCUCUAACAUUGCCAUUACCAAUGAUAGCAUAAUUACAUUAUCAUUUUUCUCAUCAUUACAUUAUAAAGCUUUUUGACUCCACAAUAUAGCACUGGCCAGCUCAAAGAUGGUGCCGCGCCCCAGGUUUUCAACGGUUUCGGGUAACUCGGCUACAUCGCCGCCGGAGUCCACGAGCAGCGGCCCUCAGGGGAUGAUCUCCUUGCCCCCCAGGAGCUCGGAGAGGUAGUCCAUGUACUUGCGCUCGAUGUCCGCGCACGUCUUGACGGCCACGAACCUCGACGAGCGCGCCAGGCUGAGCAGCAGGCGGUCGCGCUCGGAGACCAAUGCGGGUACGUCCUCGCGCAUGGCGAACAGCUCUGUGUACUCGGCCUCCUCGUCGGCGGUGUCGAGGCCGACGGACUCGAAGGGGAACGCCCGUGACGCGUAGUCGGCGCUGCCGAGGCGCAGUGGACGAAGAAGGCCGUGGCGGCGGCGCUGCAGGUGCCGAGGUGCGCUGCGGGGACGCCGCGCGCCGCCGCGGCGCGGCCUCGAGCGGCGCGGCCCAGGGCUGGAGGAAGUCGUAGAGGAGGGAGUCCGGGCGGAGGUCGUCCUAGAAGCGCGCCGAACCGCCGCGCGGCGAGGUCGCAGGCGCUCUUGAGCGUCGGCAUUAGGCGCGGCGGGAGGUGCUUGGCGGUGUGCAGCGCGGGAGGUAGGUCGGGGAGGGGCGGGAGGUGGAGCUCCACCAGCCGGAUCCUGUCCGUCUUCCGGUGCGCGAUCGCCGCGAGGUUGAUGGGGUUGUGCGCUUCCUGCUGGGGUAGCAGGUGGGUGGCCGGCGGCAGCAGCAACCGCCGGCGAACGGGCCGGAGCAGGAGAUGCAAACCAGCGAAAAAUUUGUCAAAUUAGGAUCAAACCAGGGGGGUUAUUUGAUAAAUACAGGGGUUUAUUUGCAAAUAUUCGGAUCGCGGUCCAAAAUUAGGGGUCUAUUUGUAAAUUAUAAGGGUAUAUAUGCAAAUAUUCGGAUCACAAUCAUUAAUUGCGAUCCAAAAUGAGGAGGCAUUUUGCAAAUGAUGGCGUCCCGCGACAUGGUACACAGGAGGAGUCUGUGCUGCCGCCGGCGACCUCCGCUAGCCCCGUCGGCUGCCGCCACGCAUCCCUCAUUCAAUUCAGCGCGCCCAUACGCUGCUUCGGAUCAUCUCCCGCGCCACCGUCACCGCUCAUGGACCUGCCUCAUGAGAGAUGCUGCCGCCGUUCAAGCUCCGAGUUGAGACGAGAGACACACAUGCGGGCAUGUUCAAGGUUCACCAGUCCGCCGUAAGCUAGCUAGCUAGCAUCAAUGGCUCCGUGCUGGCCGCUCGGCUUCGGCGGGCCGGCGGAGGCCACGGGGCUCCGCUCUUGCCUCCGCUUCAUCUCUUCGGUCAGCGCCGCCGCCUCAAAGGUAUCUCCAGGGCCCUGGCCCCUGGGUAGGCCUGGGGUUCGGGUAACCCGAAAAUUCGGGUCGGGUUUUCUAAAUUUCGGAUUCUGAAAAUUGGAACCCGAGAUGUCCUCCGGAGAUUCAAAACCAGACAAUUCGGGUUCGGGUUAACCCGUACUACCUGAGAUAGCUGCAACACAGCAGAAAUCAGGCAGCAUUGCAGCAAGCCGCAGGGCAGGCCAAGUGCCCAACAACAAUAUAAUUCAGAACAUAGCACCAGGAAAAACCGCACAGCACUACAGCAGCACAUGAGUACAUGACAUGACCAAACUAACAGAUCUAAAACAUUAAAGUUCAAAGUUCUCAAGCUCACAUGUAACAGGUUCACACAAAGAUAACGUACUGAUAGUCUUGCACACUAAUACAUGAUAAAUUGAUAAUAGUUCAUAGAUUGCAAUUCAUAAAUUGCACUAGCAGCUUGCAGGUUGGCUCCAUCCAAUUCUGAUAUCUCCUCCAAAGUCCAAACCUUGAACCAGCCAGCCACCCUGCAGGCUGCAGGCGAAGAAAACACAGAGACAGAGAUGCUUAGUGUGAUAGCAAAAUCAUAUGAAUAUGAAUCAAUGACCACUUGAGCAGCUUGGCCGUACGACUGUGAUGGCUCCGUACCAUGAAUCUCCAUUGGCACAAUUGAAUUGUCAUGCAGAGUCUCAGUGUCCAUUGACUGGGCCUCAAUGCAAUCAUCAGGUUCCGGCAUCUGCAAGAUAAAGAGCACUAAUUGAAAUGCAAGAACCUGCAGAAUUGAAAUGCUAGGAGCCUAGAAGGACUACCAGAAUUUAAGAAGUACAUAAUGACAUUCCUAGUUUCCUACCCUUCUGUUAUUUUAAGAUGUACUAGUUCGAUAACAAAAUCCAUUUCACUCAAGAAUGAAAGCAGUGCUACUAGAUCAAAUAGACUAAAUGGCUAAUAUUCACAUACUGCAUCUGUACUAGCAUGAACAACAUAACAAGUAGAGAGCCGGUUCUGGGGCUUGGACGGGAUAGAUGGGGCGUUUCGCUCCCGGCUGGGACGGCAGGCGGUGUGGACGGCGGCGACAGCGGCCGCUAGCGAAUCGGCCGGAGCAGGGAACGAUCCAAACUAGGGGUUUUCUAUAAUAUUUUGGAUCCUAACCAGGGGGUAUUUGAUAAAUAUUUGGGUUUAUUUGCAUAUAUUUGGAUCGUGCCUAUUAAUCGUGAUCCAAUUUAGGGGUCUAUUUAUAAAUUAGUAGGGUCUUUUCUGCAUAUAAUCGCGAACCAAACCGGCAUUUUGAAAAUAUUCGCGCCGCGCGACAUGCACACCCGGCAAGGUCGCGCUGCCGCCGGCGAUCUACGGUAGCCCGGCGCCGCCGCUAUGCGUCCCCUGAGAUCCUGGAUCUCAUCAAGUACACGCGUCCUAGCCGCAGGCUUGAAGACCCCUCGCACGCCGCCGCCGCUCACGGUCACGUACCUUUCUCCUGGUGAGACGCCGCGGCGGCUGUGCCGGUAGGGCGAGGGGGCGCGGUGCUCGCAGGCUGCCGCGGCCCGGGCCUCCGAGUUGAUACGGAAAUGCGCACGGAAUCUGCUCCUGUUCUUUUUAGUCGGUAUAUUAAAAUUUUAUAGGUUUUUAGAGUUAUACAAAUCAAUUGCUACAAAUCAAUGUGAUAUUAAAAGAUCUUUGAAAUUCAAAUCUAUUCAUAUAACCUUUAUAUAACAAGGAUGCAUAGACCUUCAACACAUGUCGUAGUUUUGCUUUCAAGUGGCGCUCCUUUAUAAAUCACAUUGGCGUAGCCAUGAACUCUGGAAAUCAAGAAUGCUGCAAUGCCCCUAUUAUGUUGUUUCUAUCUGAAAAAGGGCUAAUCUCCUGUCCAAAUGCAUCUCACAGAGCGUUUACUAUCAAGGAAAAAAGUUGACACACAAUGAGACAAACGCAAGUGAUACUAAUAAGGUAAGCUGCAGUUGUUUCUAAGGAAUCCAAGGAUGGCUUGCCCCUCUACAGGAUACUAGCAUUUUUUCCUUUGUGUUUGCCCAGGGGCCAAGUUUCGGCUACUGUUCUUCCGGUAUCCGCAAGAACUUCAAGCAAAGAACCUAAGAGCAAAUUACUAAAUUAGUCAGGAACAUCAGAAUCUGAGAAUUACUAAUAAUACUGCCUUUACACCCCGGAAACUCGAGUUACAAUCCACUACACACAUGCUGGGAAUGAAAUCAACACGGGAUAACCACUACACUGAAAGUGGUGAAGCAGAAGCAUAGAAAAUAGAGACACAGAGUGGAAAAAAGACCCGAAGAGUAUCUUUCUAUAAGAUUAAGACUAACAUGGGAUCACCAAACGAAUUAGAGAGAAUUUGCAACUUGAUCUUGCAACACCCCCUGCUUCACUUUCCAGCACAGUCCAACCCCCUGUCAACCAACCAGGAAUCAAUCCCCCAGAUAACCUCCUCUGUGCAUUGCGUGUCAGCAUCUCGCCUUUGAGCAAGGCACGAAUAUUACUGCCUUGCAUUCGCGCACAACGCACCGGCCUGCAGCCUAUAUAUAGGGCACCAUGGUCUGCAAGACGGCAGCAAUCACUUAGCUGGAUCGCUGAGACUGACCGAGCACAAAGCCGCCGGAGAUCGAGAUCGAGCAAGCAAGCUAGCGUGCGCCGCCGACGCGACGACGAUGCCGCCGUACCGGCUGCCGCUGUACCACCGGCAGAGCCCGGUGGUCCGGUGCAUCAACUUCCUGUGCGCGGUGGUGCUGACGCUGGUCCUCAUCGCCGGCAUCAUCCUCUUCGUGCUGUGGCUGAGCCUCCGGCCGCACCGCCCCCGGUUCUACCUCGCCGACUUCUCCAUCCCGAAUGCCAACCGCCAGUCCGGCCUGGCCAACCUGCCGGUGCGCUUCGCCGUCGGCGAGCACAACCCCAACCAGAAGAUCGGCAUCUACUACGAGGAGAUCGUGGCAUCGGUGUACUACGGCGACGUGCUCGUGGCCAAGGGCCCCGUCAUGCAGCCAUUCUACCAGCCGCCCAAGGGCGACACCCCCGUGCUCGGGCAGCUCACCGCGACGGGGCCCAACCCGACGGACUCGGCGGCGUGGGGUAGGUUCUCCGGCGAGCUCUCGGCUGGGACCGUCAGGAUGCGGCUGCUGCUCACCUCCACGGUGCAGUUCCAGGUGAAGGUGUGGGACACCAAGCAUCAUCACAUGAAGGCGGAGUGCGACUUCAAGAUCAACGGGGAUGGCACGCUACAGCAGCAGGACAAGAACUCCCAGUGCGAGCUCUACUUCUAGCUAGCGCGUCUGCUAUCUCGGCUUGAGUUGGUGUGGGUCUCGCUGAUUCUUUUCCAUCAAUCUUGGUUUUCGAGGUCAUGUUGUCAUUUAUUUUGUUUGCGCGUUUGGCUGAUGUUUGGGGUUGUUGUAAUGCAAAUUAUUUGUAAACAUAAGCGUAUUCAUGUAUCAAGAAACCAUUUGUGAAUUGGACUGUUCUUCCCAACUUUAAAAAGAAGCAGAUGAAAAGGCUGUAACCAUGAUUCAAGCCAACAUUACCCAUCACGCAUCAGAAAUGUCACAACGUGCAACACAUGAACAUAGCACCCUGCAAAUUCAUACAAUUCAAUUUACUUCCUUUCUUAGAUUAUUAUUAGGUGUUCUCUAUCUGCGCCUCUUGCUUAGAAACACAUUGAAUCAAUAACCACGUGAAUUUAAACCAUGGUUCCGUCAAUCAAUUCAUAAAUAUCAACACAGCAUCUCACAAGAGCACCAUGCUUAGGUGUUAAUCACUAGCCAAUCAUCGAAUGGACAGCCAAAACACAUGCUCACAAUUCCUUUCCUGAUAAGUACAUACUAUUAAUCCUAUCAAACUAGUAACAAAUUUACAACAAAACUGAGGUGGUCACUUGACGUGUCCCAGGCUCACAUUUUUGUUUCUGGAAGCCAACCGAAUUACAAGGUAGCUGAAUGUAAAACCCUAACGAAGCGCACUUGUAUGGCUUGACGUCCCUUCAUUUCUCCUCCAGUCUCAUCAGGACAGAUUCGGCAAAUAUGCGUUGUCUGGUGAUCAGAAGCCAUUUUAGAAACUUGGAUUCAGGAAAUGGGGAAGGAGUCAGGGAGGAAGUGGAUGGGAGGAAACUCACUUCUCUUCAGUGUGUUUGGGACUAGGACGGUUGUGUUUCAGAUAGCCAUCCCACGGAACCUUUUUUAGUCCAGCUCUAGCGGCUAUCAUGUCCCUUACUCUGUGCAAAGCAUUUCAUUAUGCAAGGAAUAAUCAAUUUUAUGGUCUCUCCAAAACAAAAGGACCCUAAGUUUUUCUUGGAAAAGAAAAUGAACUAAACAAAUGGGUCACCUCUCAGCAAAUGCAAUUGCCGUCUCUCCCUCCCUCAGAUAUUGAGGAGGUAAGUACCAAACAUCACACACAACAGCCCAUGAUGUCAUCAGCCGGACCAAGUGCAUUGUAAAAGAUUGCCUGAAACAUUUCGUGAGGUAAUUAUGUUAACUAAAGAAGAAAGUCUAGAUAAACUAAAUUAAUUCAUCAUUUGUACUCCUUACUUCUUACUGUUCCAAAAGGCAUCAACAAAUAUUUUAUUGUACUUGAUAGCUAUUGGACAGACAGCGCAGCCAAGCUCAAAGGCACCCUGAGAAACAAGAUGAAAACCAUCACCACAGUAAACAACAGCAAAGAUGUAAAUUAAUGUCAUGCAACAGGUAACAAACUUCUAGUGUCUGACAUCUAAUUACUGUCAAGCGACAAUGAAAAUGUUCUAUGCUUGCAUCCUACCAGGAAGUCUGGAAUACUAGAUAUGAUAUUAAACAUAUAUAUAAUUUUUUUUAAAAUGCUGUAGUGACAUGCAAGUAUGCUAAAAAUGUAACAAUAAUUAAUAGAGCUUCAUGAACAAUAAAUCCUGAUUUUAUUCAUGGAAAACAUUAUACAACGCAAUGAUGUAACAUAUUCAAAGUCAAACUAUAUUUUGACUUAAACAGAGAUAGGGUUCACCUUCUUGAACAUGACCGUGUACUGGUUGUUAACACAAGUUCCUUCCGGAAAAAUCAAGAGAGGAUUUUUGUCUGGUUGUUGAACAUGAUCACGUAACCUGGCAAUGUAAUUUGCUGAAUAAAAUGAACUACAUAAUCAAUGGGAUUAUGAUUUGAAAGACAAAACUUACUUCCGUGCCGUAACUUCACGAUCCCGAAGAUCAUUACGAUUAAACCAGAUGCAACCGACACUUUCCAAGAUAGUCUUCUGAAUAAAUCCUGUAAAUAAUGGGAACAGUCAAAUAGAUAGAUAAUAAAGGAAAAAGUCCAAAUUACUCCCUUCAAGUAUAGUGAAAGUCCAGAUAACACCCUAAACUAUGUUUUGGUUCAAUUUACCCCCUAAACUAUGCUAUUUGGUUCAACUCACCCCAUAAUGCAAUUUGUCAUUUUUGUUUCUCCAUACACAAGUUGAAUUUAAUUUGAGACUUCGCAGGGUGGUAGUGGACAUCAUAAUCUAUAAUAAAAAAUAUUGUAUGCAUUUUUCAUCAUUAGUUUUUAUAUAAUUUUGUAUCUCAAGGAUAAAUUUUAUUAUUAAAUAUCUUACCCUAUCAAAAUAGUGAUGAAAAAUUCAUGAUAUAUUUUUUUAACAUGUGUUAUGAUGUCUGCUAUCAUCUUGCAAAAUUUGAACUUAAAACUCCACUUGUGCAUGGAGAAACAAAAAAAAAAUUGUGUUAAGGGGGAAAUUGAACGAAAUGGCAUAGUUCAGGGGGUAAAUUGAACCAAGAAAUACUUUAGGGGGUUAUCCAGACUUUGGUUAUACUUGAGGGGAGUAAUUUGGACUUUUUCCGAUAAUAAAUCUAGCAUUCGAAACUAGCAGAGAAGUUUCGGAAGAACCAGAGACUCAC